rfam:Salmo salar isolate Sally breed double haploid chromosome ssa22, whole genome shotgun sequence.
GGCAUGCAUGACUGUAAAUUGCUUUGGAUAAAAGCGUCUGCUAAAUGGCAUAAA